AAGUAGAAAACAGUCAACAACAUCUUUGACCUUGGCUAUAUCAACUUCCUACUAGACACAUCUCCUGGGACAAGAGAAACAAAAGCAAAAAUGAACUAUUGAGACUUCAUCAAGAUAAAAAUCUUCUGCACAGUGAA